AACGAACGCUGGCGGCAUGCCUAACACAUGCAAGUCGAACGAGACCUUCGGGUCUAGUGGCGCACGGGUGCGUAACGCGUGGGAACCUGCCCUUAGGCUCGGAAUAACUCCCCGAAAGGGGUGCUAAUACCGGAUAAUGUCCUCGGACCAAAGAUUUAUCGCCUUUGGAUGGGCCCGCGUUGGAUUAGCUAGUUGGUAGGGUAAAAGCCUACCAAGGCGACGAUCCAUAGCUGGUCUGAGAGGAUGAUCAGCCACACUGGGACUGAGACACGGCCCAGACUCCUACGGGAAGCAGCAGUAGGGAAUAUUGGACAAUGGGCGAAAGCCUGAUCCAGCAAUGCCGCGUGAGUGAUGAAGGCCUUAGGGUUGUAAAGCUCUUUUACCCGGGAUGAUAAUGACAGUACCGGGAGAAUAAGCUCCGGCUAACUCCGUG
rnacentral:rRNA from 1 species